GAUGAAGAACGCAGCGAAAUGCGAUACGUAAUGUGAAUUGCAGAAUUCAGUGAAUCAUCGAAUCUUUGAACGCAUAUUGCGCUCUCUGGUAUUCCGGAGAGCAUGCUUGUUUGAGUAUCAGUAAACACCUCAACUUCCAUAUCUUUUUUGAAAUGGGAGUUGGACUUGAGUGAUCCCAACGCUUUUCCUCACCGAAAAGUGGCGGGUUACUUGAAAUGCAGGUGCAGCUGGACUUUUCUCUGAGCUAUACGCAUAUCUAUUUAGUCUGCCUAAAAAACAGAUUAUUACCUUUGCUGCAGCUAACAUAAAGGAGAUUAGUUCUUGUGCUGACUGAUGCAGGAUUCACAAAGACAGCUUCGGCCGACUUUGUAAACUCGAUCUCAAAUCAAGUAAGACUACCCGCUGAACUUAAGCAUAUCAAUAAGCGGAGGA
rnacentral:misc_RNA from 1 species